rnacentral:lncRNA from 1 species
UUGGAUUAAAACUCAUCAUUUCACAAGGGAUAUGGCAAGCAAGGUCAAGAAAACAUACAUUCUAACAAACCCUAGGCCAAAACAUUUUUUAACCGUGCACAAUUUCUGGAAAAAUAUCCAAAAAUAUUAGACAUGAUGAGGAGAACAAUGCAAAAAUCCACACAUUAUUUGGAUCAAUAUUCAUUGAGUUAUGAAUUUUGGAAGUGGAGAGAAAAAA